rnacentral:lncRNA from 1 species
CCUUAACCUCUUUUUAGUGCUGGUUGGGACAGUGUGUCUGGGGUCCUCAAAACUACUCUCAAGCUCAAUUCACCUAGAGUACUUACAGGACUCAGCAUAUAGUCGUGCUUGUGGCUACAAUUUAUUACAGCAAAAGGAUACAGACCAAAAUCAGCAAAGGGAAAAGGCUGGUGCAAGUUUCUAGGAGUCUUCUCCCAGCGGGAGUUAAACAAGGCGGCCUUUAUUUCCCCAGUAGCAACAGUAACUACAGAAAUAACAGCAACAAGGUGUAACAAGACAUGAAAUGUUGCCAACCAGGGAAGCUUGUUAGACUCAGCACCACCUCUUUUACUUGGGGCUGGUCAUGUAGGCGCCCCCUUCCUGGCACAUAACAAAAUUUCCAGACUCCCAGAAGGAAAGGUGUUCAGCGUAAACUGUAUUGUUUGCAUGAACGGUUUAGGCACAGUGAACCACUGAUACCAGGUAGGGAGCGGUGGGAACCUUCCUGAAUUCCAAGUUCCCAGACACCAGCCAAGGAGCCGACCUUGGAAGCAGGCCUUUCCAAGGGUUGUAGUUUCAGUCUCCUAGGCUUACACUUCUCUGCACAUAUGGAAACUGGGUUGGUUAUGCAGGGUUCUCUGAGAAGCUUUCUGUAAGGAGCAGUGUCGUUUUUGCUUACCCAGGAUUUAUUCCCCCUUUCAUUUAUUUCAUUUAUUCACCAGAUAGUUUUAGUACUGUUUUAGGUAUUGGGGAUAUACCAAGGAAUAAAACAAGAUUCCUGGAGGGAGAGGGGAACGGACAGCAAACAAUAGACACAAUACGAUCGUGAGGUAUAUAGUUAAUGUUGGUGAUGAGUGCUCCUCAAAGGAAACAACUAAAACCAGACAAGGGAAGUCGGGGUGUCAGGGAGAAUGGUUUGUAGUAUUGAUGACAAUGGUUAAGGAAGGCCUGAGUUCUGCAAAGACCUCAAGGAUAUGAGGGACUAGAGUGCCCUCUGCUGUGGAAGAGCCUGCGCAAAGAUCCUGAGGUGGGAGGGGUCAGGGAGCCAACUCAUUUUACGGUAAGUGGAGGUGGGAUCCAGGGGAGGAUUCUGAGCAGAGGAGGGACGUGGCCCAAUUUGGGCUUUGAAAGGAUCCUGCUUGUCUGUGUGCCAGCAUCCUGGUGGUGGUUGGGGGAGUCUGCAUCAAUCCUGGGUGCUGUUACCUGAAAAAAUAGCAGGUGUUAGACGAAAGAACAGAUGUCUGGCCCAUUGUCUCCAGUCUGUUCCUGUCCACAGCUUCCCUUUAUGCUGAGCCCCUGCCACAUGCAUCAUCAUCCUGGCCAUGUGGCAUUGUCACAGACCGUCUCUCCUGCUAGCCUCCUAACUCAGGGCCUGGGUCUUCCCCAGCAUUAAGUAAAUCAGUCUCAGGCAGACAGCCCUUUAUAGGUGUUUGGGCCAGGUGCGGUGGCUCACGCCUGUAAUCCCAGCUCUUUGUGGGGCCGAGGUCUUUGAGCUCAGGAGUUCAAGACCAGCCUGGGCAGCAUGACAAAACCCUGUCUCUACCAAAAAUACAAAAAUUAGCCACGCAUGGUGGCACACACCUGUGGUCCCAGCUACUCGGGAGGCUGAGGUGGGAGGAUCGCUGGAGCCUGGGAAGUUGAGGCUGCAGUGAGCCGUGAUCAUGCCACUGCAUUCCAGCCUGUGUGAUGGAGAGAGACCCUGUCUCAAAAAAAAUAAA